rnacentral:rRNA from 1 species
CCUACGGGUGGCAGCAGUGAGGAAUAUUGGUCAAUGGACGAGAGUCUGAACCAGCCAAGUAGCGUGAAGGAUGACUGCCCUAUGGGUUGUAAACUUCUUUUAUAAAGGAAUAAAACGAGGCACGUGUGCCUUUUUGCAUGUACUUUAUGAAUAAGGAUCGGCUAACUCCGUGCCAGCAGCCGCGGUAAUACGGAGGAUUCGAGCGUUAUCCGGAUUUAUUGGGUUUAAAGGGUGCGUAGGCGGUUUGUUAAGUCAGUGGUGAAAGUUGGAGGCUCAACCGUAAAAUUGCAUUUGAUACUGGCAGUCUUGAGUACAGUUGAGGUAGGCGGAAUGCGUGGUGUAGCGGUGAAAUGCUUAGAUAUCACGCAGAACCCCGAUUGCGAAGGCAGCUUACUAAGCUGUGACUGACAUUGAUGCACGAAAGUGUGGGUAUCAAACAGGAUUAGAUACCCCUGUAGUC